rnacentral:misc_RNA from 1 species
CAGAGUUGAAAAACUCCAACCCCUGUGAAUUUUACCUUUUCGUUGCUUCGGCGGCCCGUGCCCCUCGGGGCUCGAAGCCGCCGGAGGUUAUAAACUCUGAAUUUUUAGUGUAUCUCUGAGUAUAAAAACAAAUAAUCA